AUUGAACGCUGGCGGCAGGCCUAACACAUGCAAGUCGAACGGUAACAGGGAUCAGCUUGCUGAUUCGCUGACGAGUGGCGGACGGGUGAGUAAUGUCUGGGAAACUGCCUGAUGGAGGGGGAUAACUACUGGAAACGGUAGCUAAUACCGCAUAACGUCGCAAGACCAAAGAGGGGGACCUUCGGGCCUCUUGCCAUCGGAUGUGCCCAGAUGGGAUUAGCUAGUAGGUGGGGUAACGGCUCACCUAGGCGACGAUCCCUAGCUGGUCUGAGAGGAUGACCAGCCACACUGGAACUGAGACACGGUCCAGACUCCUACGGGAGGCAGCAGUGGGGAAUAUUGCACAAUGGGCGCAAGCCUGAUGCAGCCAUGCCGCGUGUAUGAAGAAGGCCUUCGGGUUGUAAAGUACUUUCAGCGGGGAGGAAGGGAGUGAAGUUAAUACCUUUGCUCAUUGACGUUACCCGCAGAAGAAGCACCGGCUAACUCCGUG
rnacentral:rRNA from 1 species